GGGUGUGAUCAUACCAGCACAAAUGCACCGGAUCCCAUUAGAACUCCAUAGUUAAGCGUGCUUGGGCGAGAGUAGUACUAGGAUGGGUGUCCUCCAGGGAAGUCCUCGUGUUGCACCCA
rnacentral:rRNA from 1 species